rnacentral:pre_miRNA from 1 species
UGUUAAAAUAUUCAUCUAUUUGUACCAUUAAAAAUUAGCGUGAUUGGCAGAGUAAUCAACUAAGGACAUGUGAUGUGCCAUGUGUACCUCAUGCUGACGUACAUUAACUAAUUUUUCUACUAAUCAAUUUUUUAACA